rnacentral:lncRNA from 1 species
AAUUAUUUCCUCUCUUUCACAAUAGUUUUUCUUUUUCUUCUUCUCUCUCUUUCUUCUCGUUAUUCCUCCUCCCCCCUCUGUCUCUCUUUUCUUCCCCGACUCACAAAUUGGGUCUUCAAUUUAUAUCCCUCUCUCUUCCUCCUCCACUAUCUUUUAUCCCUCUCUCUUUACAUAUAUACACAUCUCUAUCAACAUCAUUAUCAUGCCCACCUUCAGAUCUACACAUUUGCACCAAUAUUUUCUACGUACGUUAUGAAAUUGGUUUCUCGUUCUUUUAAAUCUGUUUUGAUUUAUUUUAAAUGUAUUUAACAGAGUUUCUGGUGUUUUUGCUGGUGUUUACCAUCAGAAAUCAUAUAUAUUUCGUCAAUUUAAAAUUUGAUUUCUGUUUGAUUUGUUGGAUUGGUGUUAGAUCUGGUUUGAAGGAGUCUAGAUUUGCAUUUGGAUCUGGGUAGUCGUCGGAUUCUAGAGCUGGGCUGUUAUGUGGGUGAUGGUUGCUUCUUCUACUGCUGAUCCGAUCUGGUUUGUCGACAUGUUCGUCGAUAUUUUGCUGGUUGUGGGCAGCGCAUGGGAUCCCUGUCAUGACUGGUUGGUUGUUUUUAAUCAGCAGAUCCUUAAUCCAAAAUACUCAACAAUGGCGACAAAGAUGCUUUUUUAGAGACCCCUCUCUCUACUUAGAAAAUUGUUGAUUUGAGUUUAGAAAAUGGUGAUUUGUCUAAAUUCUUUACUGUUAUAAUUUUAUUUUAUUUUGCCAUUGAAGAUGGAUAUUGUUUUAGUAGUUGAGUAAUUAUUGUACUUGAAUACUAUAAAGUUUGAUUAUUAUUUUUGUUUUAAUUUUGUUACCACGGCUGCAUGUAUAAAUUAGAUUAAUGGAUCGGCGCUCCAUAACUUCCGGCGUCUUCGAUUGUUCUGGUUAAUUGGAUACUGAUAAAAAAAUUAUUUGAGAACUACUGAAUUAAAGUGAC